GUGGUAUUCAGUAUUUAAUUAAGAAAACUAUCACCUGUGGAAUUAGAUGCACAGAUGUGAAAAACUAAGACACAGAGCAGUUAAAAGAUCUAAUGACAGAACUCAGAAUGGAACACAGGUCUCCUACUUCUAGACUCAUGUUUUUGAGGAGAUCCGUGGAUCAGCAUCUCUCCUGGUCAGGACCACAGAGGCCUUCCACCCGCUGUGUGAAGCCUCGUUGGAUGCCAGCUUCAAAAGCAAAAGAAACCAGCAUAUCAUUUGUCUUAUCUGUUCAGUGCCUAUGCAAUGCUUGGCAUAAAAAGGGGGAGAAUAAAUAAGAAGAAAGAGGUACAGAGAAGGAAUCAGAAAGAAAAGGAAAGAAGGAAAUCAAAAUAGAAAAGAGAAAAGGUGGGAAAGAGAGACAAAAGAGAAACAUUAGAGAGAAGAAAAGACAGCCAAAAAAGAAACAGCCCGAAUUUAUAGGAGAUGCAGAUGAAAUCCGUUCCAGACCUCCAAGGAAAAUUAGCCUUUCUCUGACACACUCCUCAAAAUCCUUCCAGACUUGACCCACUAUUCACCACGGCAGCACAUCACCUCCAGAGUGAAGAAAAGUUUCAAACAUCAGGAAAAAAAAACAGCGCAUUGCAAAACAUAUUAGACUGAACCUAUCGAUGACAAAAUGCAACUGUGAAAUGUUGAGACUGUUCAUCAAAGCUGGACAUAAGCAGGAUCCAUUCCAUUUUCAAAGAGAAAAUCAUGCCAAUAACUCUCUACAAAGGAAACGAUUUCAAAUGAAUACAGGUUGGCCUCGAUCUCUGGGCUCAAGCAAUUCUCGCACAUCAGCCUCCCGAGUAGCUGGUACUACAGACAGAUGUCAUCGUGCCUAGUAAUUAGUUAAUAUGUCUGUGGCUACUAAAGGCACAACCAGUAAAUAAAAAAUGUUCCCAAAUUGA
rnacentral:lncRNA from 1 species